rnacentral:rRNA from 1 species
UACGUAGGGUGCGAGCGUGUCCGGAAUUAUUGGGCGUAAAGAGCUCGUAGGCGGUUUGUCGCGUCUGCUGUGAAAACCCGAGGCUCAACCUCGGGCCUGCAGUGGGUACGGGCAGACUAGAGUGUCGGUAGGGGAGAUUGGAAUUCCUGGUGUAGCGGUGGAAUGCGCAGAUAUCAGGAGGAACACCGAUGGCGAAGGCAGGUAUCUGGGCCAUUACUGACGCUGAGGAGCGAAAGCAUGGGGAGCGAACAGG